GUGGCUGUAGCUCAGUUGGUAGAGCACAGGAUUGUGACUCCUGAGGUCGCGGGUUCAAACCCCGUCAGCCACCCCA
rnacentral:tRNA from 1 species